rnacentral:rRNA from 1 species
GUGGGAAUUUUGGACAAUGGGGGAAACCCUGAUCCAGCCAUCCCGCGUGUGCGAUGAAGGCCUUCGGGUUGUAAAGCACUUUUGGCAGGAAAGAAACGUCACGGGUUAAUACCCCGUGAAACUGACGGUACCUGCAGAAUAAGCACCGGCUAACUACGUUCCAGCAGCCUCGGUAAUACGUAGGGUGCAAGCGUUAAUCGGAAUUACUGGGCGUAAAGCGUGCGCAGGCGGUUCGGAAAGAAAGAUGUGAAAUCCCAGAGCUCAACUUUGGAACUGCAUUUUUAACUACCGGGCUAGAGUGUGUCAGAGGGAGGUGGAAUUCCGCGUGUAGCAGUGAAAUGCGUGGAUAUGCGGAGGAACACCGAUGGCGAAGGCAGCCUCCUGGGUUAACACUGACGCUCAUGCACGAAAGCGUGGGGAGCAAACAGG